AUAUUUUUAUUGAUGUGUUUUGCCUCUGAUUCUUUCUUUUUCAGAUGUGCACUUGUGUCUUAGGCUUAUGCUUUGCAAAAGGUUCACCAUCGCCCUUAAGUUGCUGUGGGUUUUACGGUUUUACUUCCAACCUGGCAUAUAAAUGCACUUAGUAUCUGAAGUUAUUUGUCAAUAACUGGUGAUCAGACUAUUUCAAACAAAUACGUUUUUAAGGGCUGAGAAGGUGAAAGUUAGAAGUCUGCAGACUGCAACGUAAAUCAAUUUUCAACACAUGGUUUCCUGAAUAUAUUUAGUUUUCGAUUGAAAUGAGAAUAAACUGAACUUAUAGAUAUGUUGAAAAUUAACUAUUUUAUAUU
rnacentral:lncRNA from 1 species